AUUGAACGCUGGCGGCAUGCUUUACACAUGCAAGUCGAACGGUAACAGGUUAAGCUGACGAGUGGCGAACGGGUGAGUAAUGCAUCGGAACGUGCCCGGUCGUGGGGGAUAACGCAGCGAAAGCUGCGCUAAUACCGCAUACGAUCUAAGGAUGAAAGCGGGGGACCGUAAGGCCUCGCGCGAUCGGAGCGGCCGAUGUCAGAUUAGGUAGUUGGUGGGGUAAAGGCUCACCAAGCCAACGAUCUGUAGCUGGUCUGAGAGGACGACCAGCCACAGUGGGACUGAGACACGGCCCAGACUACUACGGGAGGAAGCAGUGGGGAAUUUUGGACAAUGGGCGAAAGCCUGAUCCAGCAAUGCCGCGUGCAGGAAGAAGGCCUUCGGGUUGUAAACUGCUUUUGUACGGAGCGAAAAGGUCUCCUCUAAUACAGGGGGCUCAUGACGGUACCGUAAGAAUAAGCACCGGCUAACUACGUGCCAGCAGCCGCCGUAACAC
rnacentral:rRNA from 1 species